rnacentral:rRNA from 1 species
CCUACGGGGGGCUGCAGUGGGGAAUAUUGCACUAUGGGCGCAAGCCUGAUGCAGCCAUGCCGCGUGUGUGAAGAAGGCCUUCGGGUUGUAAAGCACUUUCAGCGGGGAGGAAGGCGGUGAGGUUAAUAACCUCAUCGAUUGACGUUACCCGCAGAAGAAGCACCGGCUAACUCCGUGCCAGCAGCCGCGGUAAUACGGAGGGUGCAAGCGUUAAUCGGAAUUACUGGGCGUAAAGCGCACGCAGGCGGUCUGUCAAGUCGGAUGUGAAAUCCCCGGGCUCAACCUGGGAACUGCAUUCGAAACUGGCAGGCUAGAGUCUUGUAGAGGGGGGUAGAAUUCCAGGUGUAGCGGUGAAAUGCGUAGAGAUCUGGAGGAAUACCGGUGGCGAAGGCGGCCCCCUGGACAAAGACUGACGCUCAGGUGCGAAAGCGUGGGGAGCAAACAGGAUUAGAUACCCGAGUAGUC